rnacentral:rRNA from 1 species
GACGGAGGAUGCAAGCGGUAUCCGGAAUUAUUGGGCGUAAAGCGUCCGCAGGUGGCUAAUUAAGUCUGCUGUUAAAGUCCAGGGCUUAACUCUGGGAAGGCGGUGGAAACUGGAUAGCUUGAGUGCGUCAGGGGUAGAGGGAAUUCCCAGUGUAGCGGUGAAAUGCGUAGAUAUUGGGAAGAACACCAGUGGCGAAGGCGCUCUACUGGGUCGCAACUGACACUCAUGGACGAAAGCUAGGGGAGCGAAAGGG